rnacentral:rRNA from 1 species
AACGAACGCUGGCGGCAGGCUUAACACAUGCAAGUCGAACGGGCGUAGCAAUACGUCAGUGGCGGACGGGUGAGUAACACGUGGGAAUAUGCCUUUCGGUUCGGAACAACUCGGGGAAACCCGUGCUAAUUCCGGAUACGCCCUUACGGGAAGGAUUUAUCGCCGAAAGAUUAGCCCGCCGUUGGAUUAGCUAGUUGGUGAGGUAAAGGACUCACCAAGGCGACGAUCCAUAGCUGGUUUGAGAGAACGACCAGCCACACUGGGACGUGAGACACGGCCCACGACUCCUACGGGAGGCAGCAGUGGGGAAGUCUUGGACAAUGGGCGCAAGCCUGAUCCAGCCAUGCCGCGUGAGUGAU